UGGGGAAUCUUGCGCAAUGGGCGAAAGCCUGACGCAGCCAUGCCGCGUGAAUGAUGAAGGUCUUAGGAUUGUAAAAUUCUUUCACCGGGGACGAUAAUGACGGUACCCGGAGAAGAAGCCCCGGCUAACUUCGUGCCAGCAGCCGCGGUAAUACGAAGGGGGCUAGCGUUGCUCGGAAUUACUGGGCGUAAAGGAAGCGUAGGCGGACAUUUAAGUCAGGGGUGAAAUCCCAGAGCUCAACUCUGGAACUGCCUUUGAUACUGGGUGUCUUGAGUGUGAGAGAGGUAUGUGGAACUCCGAGUGUAGAGGUGAAAUUCGUAGAUAUUCGGAAGAACACCAGUGGCGAAGGCGACAUACUGGCUCAUUACUGACGCUGAGGCUCGAAAGCGUGGGGAGCAAACA
rnacentral:rRNA from 1 species